rnacentral:rRNA from 1 species
AUGAACGCUAGCUACAGGCUUAACACAUGCAAGUCGAGGGGCAGCAUGGUCUUAGCUUGCUAAGGCCGAUGGCGACCGGCGCACGGGUGAGUAACACGUAUCCAACCUGCCGUCUACUCUUGGACAGCCUUCUGAAAGGAAGAUUAAUACAAGAUGGCAUCAUGAGUCCACAUGUUCACAUGAUUAAAGGUAUUCCGGUAGACGAUGGGGAUGCGUUCCAUUAGAUAGUAGGCGGGGUAACGGCCCACCUAGUCUUCGAUGGAUAGGGGUUCUGAGAGGAAGGUCCCCCACAUUGGAACUGAGACACGGUCCAAACUCCUACGGGAGGCAGCAGUGAGGAAUAUUGGUCAAUGGGCGAGAGCCUGAACCAGCCAAGUAGCGUGAAGGAUGACUGCCCUAUGGGUUGUAAACUUCUUUUAUAAAGGAAUAAAGUCGGGUAUGGAUACCCGUUUGCAUGUACUUUAUGAAUAAGGAUCGGCUAACUCCGUGCCAGCAGCCGCGGUAAUACGGAGGAUCCGAGCGUUAUCCGGAUUUAUUGGGUUUAAAGGGAGCGUAGAUGGAUGUUUAAGUCAGUUGUGAAAGUUUGCGGCUCAACCGUAAAAUUGCAGUUGAUACUGGAUAUCUUGAGUGCAGUUGAGGCAGGCGGAAUUCGUGGUGUAGCGGUGAAAUGCUUAGAUAUCACGAAGAACUCCGAUUGCGAAGGCAGCCUGCUAAGCUGCAACUGACAUUGAGGCUCGAAAGUGUGGGUAUCAAACAGGAUUAGAUACCCUGGUAGUCCACACAGUAAACGAUGAAUACUCGCUGUUUGCGAUAUACAGCAAGCGGCCAAGCGAAAGCGUUAAGUAUUCCACCUGGGGAGUACGCCGGCAACGGUGAAACUCAAAGGAAUUGACGGGGGCCCGCACAAGCGGAGGAACAUGUGGUUUAAUUCGAUGAUACGCGAGGAACCUUACCCGGGCUUAAAUUGCAGAUGAAUUACGGUGAAAGCCGUAAGCCGCAAGGCAUCUGUGAAGGUGCUGCAUGGUUGUCGUCAGCUCGUGCCGUGAGGUGUCGGCUUAAGUGCCAUAACGAGCGCAACCCUUGUUGUCAGUUACUAACAGGUUCCGCUGAGGACUCUGACAAGACUGCCAUCGUAAGAUGUGAGGAAGGUGGGGAUGACGUCAAAUCAGCACGGCCCUUACGUCCGGGGCUACACACGUGUUACAAUGGGGGGUACAGAGGGCCGCUACCACGCGAGUGGAUGCCAAUCCCAAAAACCUCUCUCAGUUCGGACUGGAGUCUGCAACCCGACUCCACGAAGCUGGAUUCGCUAGUAAUCGCGCAUCAGCCACGGCGCGGUGAAUACGUUCCCGGGCCUUGUACACACCGCCCGUCAAGCCAUGGGAGCCGGGGGUACCUGAAGUGCGUAACCGCGAGGAGCGCCCUAGGGUAAAACUGGUGACUGGGGCU